AAGGAUCAUUAUCGUGGGGCUUCGGCCCCGUCGAGAUAGCACCCUUGCCUUUAUGAGUACCUUGGUUCCCUCCCCCGUACCUCCGGGGAGCGGGAGGGGCCUCGUCUGUUUCCCCGCGGCGGCGAAAGCCCCCGGGGACCACGAAACACGCUGUAACCACCUGUAACUGUCUGAUAAACAAACAAAAAAUCAAAACUUUCAACAACGGAUCUCUUGGUUCUG
rnacentral:misc_RNA from 1 species